rnacentral:rRNA from 1 species
CAGCAGCCGCGGGAAUACGAAGGGGGCUAGCGUUGUUCGGAUUUACUGGGCGUAAGGCGCACGUAGGCGGACUUUUAAGUCAGGGGUGAAAUCCCGGGGCUCAACCCCGGAACUGCCUUUGAUACUGGUAGGCUUGAGUAUGGAAGAGGGUCGUGGAAUUCCCAGUGUAGAGGUGAAAUUCGUAGAUAUUGGGAAGAACACCGGUGGCGAAGGCGGCGACCUGGUCCAUAACUGACGCUGAGGCGCGAAAGCGUGGGGAGCAAACAGGAUUAGAUACCCCGGUAGUCCCUGUCUCUUAUAC